rnacentral:rRNA from 1 species
ACGCUCGACACCUACGGGAGCAGCAGUGGGGAAUAUUGGGCAAUGGGCGCAAGCCUGACCCAGCAACGCCGCGUGAAGGAAGAAGGCCCUCGGGUUGUAAACUUCUUUUCUUAGGGACGAAGCAAGUGACGGUACCUAAGGAAUAAGCCACGGCUAACUACGUGCAGCAGCCGCGGUAAUCUGAGGCGGGCUGGCAAGGC